UACGUAGGGGGCUAGCGUUGUCCGGAAUCAUUGGGCGUAAAGAGCGUGUAGGCGGCCCGGUAAGUCCGCUGUGAAAGUCGGGGGCUCAACCCUCGAAUGCCGGUGGAUACUGUCGGGCUAGAGUGCGGAAGAGGCGAGUGGAAUUCCUGGUGUAGCGGUGAAAUGCGCAGAUAUCAGGAGGAACACCAAUUGCGAAGGCAGCUCGCUGGGACGUCACUGACGCUGGAGACGCGAAAGCGUGGGGAGCAAACAGG
rnacentral:rRNA from 1 species